UCAGGAUGAACGCAGCGACAGGCUAACACAUGCAAGUCGAGGGCAGCAUAAAAGUAGCAAUACUUGGUGGCGACCGGCGCACGGGUGAGUAACGCGUAUGCAACUACCUAUCAGAGGGGAAUAACCCGGCGAAAGUCGGACUAAUACCGCAUAAAACAGGGGCACCGCAUGGUGAUAUUUGUUAAAGAAAUUCGCUGAUAGAUGGGCAUGCGUUCCAUUAGGUAGUUGGUGAGGUAACGGCUCACCAAGCCGACGAUGGAUAGGGGAACUGAGAGGUUGGUCCCCCACACUGGUACUGAGACACGGACCAGACUCCUACGGGAGGCAGCAGUGAGGAAUAUUGGUCAAUGGGCGGGAGCCUGAACCAGCCAAGUCGCGUGAAGGAAGAAGGAUCUAUGGUUCGUAAACUUCUUUUGCAGGGGAAUAAAGUGCAGGACGUGUCCUGUUUUGUAUGUACCCUGAGAAUAAGGAUCGGCUAACUCCGUGCCAGCAGCCGC
rnacentral:rRNA from 1 species